ACGGAAGGCAGCAGUGUGGAAUAUUGGGCAAUGGGCGAAAGCCUGACCCAGCAACGCCGCGUGAAGGAAGAAGGCCUUCGGGUUGUAAACUUCUUUUAUCAGGACGAAGGAAGUGACGGUACCUGAUGAAUAAGCCACGGCUAACUACGUGCCCGCAGCCGCGGUAAUACGUAGGUGGCAAGCGUUAUCCGGAUUUACUGGGUGUAAAGGGCGCGUAGGCGGGGAUGCAAGUCAGAUGUGAAAUCCAUGGGCUUAACCCAUGAACUGCAUUUGACACUAUAUCUCUUGAGUGUCGGAGAGGUAGACGGAAUUCCUAGUGUAGCGGUGAAAUGCGUAGAUAUUAGGAGGAACACCAGUGGCGAAGGCGCUCUACUGGACGAUAACUGACGCUGAGGCGCGAAAGCGUGGGGAGCAAACAGGAUUACAUACCCUGGUA
rnacentral:rRNA from 1 species